GGCCGCAGGCUGCAGUGCGCACAGCACACACCUCGGUGCCGGGAGACACGCCUGCUGCGCGGUGACUUGCAGGCCUGUGCGUGCAUGCGUGUGCCUGUGGGUGCAGAGGCCGCCCCUCGGCCCGCCAGGAGGACGGUGCCCCCACGAGUCAGGAUCGAGCCCAACCUUGCCUGUUGGGCCCACACAUCUUGAGAGGGCAUCCUGGGGCACUGAACCAGCCUCUGCCCCACCCCAGGGCCCAGGGCAUUGGGGUGGGGGUGGGCAUCCCAAGGCUGAGCUCACUCCAUCCUCAACACAGCAGCGGGAGCACGUCCUGCCCAGAGCGGGAGCCCGACCCUGUGCCUGCAGCCAAGGCCGGUCUUCGCCAGAUGGCCCGGCUGGUGUGGCUCAGUGGUUGAGUGUCGACCUAUGAACCAGGAGGUCAUGGUUGGGUUCCCGGCCAGAGCACGCCUGGGUUGCGGGCUCGAUCCCCGGUGCGGGGCGUGCAGGAGGCAGCCGAUCCAUGAUUCUCUCUCAUCACUGAUGUUUCCCUCUCUCU